rnacentral:lncRNA from 1 species
AAUGGGAAAUGCUGCUGGACUCUGGAUAGAUACGUCACUCUCAAUUGUUGGUGGUUCUGUGCCUGUCUAAAAUGCCUGUUACUGUAGCUUCCCAUUUCUAGUUGAUAGGAUGAAGUGGAAAGUGAAAAUAAUGAGAUGGAUGCGCAAGGACUCGCUGCAAAAUCAACCCAAGAAGCCCACAACCAAGAGUACCUGCCAGUCAAGGUGCUUCUUCACAGCACUGCACACAAAGUGGUGGCUGUUUCUUUAUAUCGCAGUAACAGCAAGCAAUAUCACAGUUAUUGUGGCAUCCUAGAGAAAAGAGAAGUUCAAAAUCUCAGCAAUUUUUCCAAAUUUGAGGAAAUUUAGCCUUACAAGAAUAUGAGUAAACCAACCAUCCAGGGUUUGGUUUCCUCACCUGUUACCUUAAUAUACUGAGAUGAUACUAGAUCUUGAGGAUUUAUGAGAAAUGGGAGGCGGCUGCUGGCAGCAACUACAUUGAUCCUAACAUGGGUAAAGGCAAUGCUGCAAGCCAAAAGACAAGAUACUGCCAAC